GGUUCGUCACUUCAUCGUCAUCGUCUUCAUCAUUGUCUUUGCCAGCAUCGUUACAGAAUACCUGACCGCCCAUAAUGAACCCAGUAGUUCAGCUCCUUUGUCUAUGCCAGGGGAGUCAUCCCCUGUUGGAGUAUGUGGAGGAAUUCUGCGCUCUGGCCUGCAGGGUGGAUUUUAAUGAGGUGGCCCUUAAGGACUGUUUCCGUUUCGGGCUUAAUGGGCCGAUUUCCUCUUUAAUGCCUGACGGUCGGUGUGCCGACGGCCUUGCUCGGUAUAUCGACCUUGCCCUACUGAUGGGUGGUUCACCAUUCACUGAAGGGGAGAUGGAUAACAAGCCAACGCCCCUGCCUGCCACGGCCAACGAACCAACGCCCACGCCUGCCACUGCCAACAAGCCAACGCCCACGCCCACCACGGCCAGCGAGUCAACGCCCAUGCCUGCCACGGCCAGCGAGCUAGAACCUUUGUCCGUCCCAGAGCCAGUCUCUGAGUCUCUGCCCAUGUACACGACCACGGAGGUCGUUUCCAAGUCUCUGCCCAUGUUCUCGACCACAGAGGUUGUCUCUGAGUCUCUGCCCAUGUACACGACCACAGAGGUCGUACCCGAGUCUCAGUCAAUGCCCACGACCACAGAGGUCGUUCCCGAGACUCAGUCCAUGCCCACGACCACAGAGGUUGCUCCCAAGAAUCUUCUCAUGUUCACGACCACUAAGGUCUUUUCCCAGUCAUCCAGGACUCUUAGUCUUGAGCCUACCACGGCUCUGCAUUCUAUGACUUCACUCCUCGAGCCUACCAUGGCUCCGCCUGCCACAGCUUCGUCCCUUGAGCCUCCCAUGACUCCACCUUCCACAACUUUGCUCCACAUCAUGGCCAGCAAGCUCGAGUUCCACGUCAUGGCCGCCAUGCCAGAGUCAUCUCCAGGCCAUGUCACCGCCACGCCAGAGUCAUCUCCAGGCCAUGUCACCACCACGCCAGAGUCAUCUCCAGGCCAUGUCACCGCCAUGCCAGAGUCAUCCCCAGGCCAUGCCACUCCAGAGUCAGCUCCAGGCCAUGUCACCGCCACGCCAGAGUCAGCUCCAGGCCAUGUCACCGCCGCGCCAGAGUCAGCUCCAGGCCAUGUCACCACCGCGCCAGUGUCAGCUCCAAGCCAUGUCACCACCGCGCCGGAGUCAGCUCCAGGCCAUGUCACAGCUGCGCCUCAGUCUGCUCCCUGCCAUGUCUCAGCCAAGCCUCAGUCUGCUCCAUGCCAUGUCACAGCCAAGCCCCAGAUUGCUCCCUGCCAUAUCACAGACGAACCUCAGUCUGCUCCCUGCCAUGUCAAAGCCAAGCUUCAGUCUGCUCCAUGCCAUGUCUCAGCCAAGCCCCAGACUGCUCCAUGCCAUGUUACAAGCAAGCCUCUUCUCCACGUUCCAGGCCCGCCUCUUCUCCGCGGUCCAGGCUCGCCUCCGCUCCUUGGUCCAGGCCUGCCUCCGCUCCACGGUCUAGGCCCGCCUCCGCUCCACGGUCCAGGCCUGCCUCUGCUCCACUGGGGACCUCCAUCCCUGCGGCUCCGCCUUGGUCCUCAUCCCCAUCGGCUCCACCCCUCGAGCCUCUCAGGGCCCCACUUUCCAUUGGCUUUGACCUGUUCCCACACCCCACGCCCUGUCUCGCCAGGCCACGCCCCACGCCCUGUCUCGACAGGCCACAUCUCAAGAACUAUGCAAAGUUCUCCAAGAAGUGCUCUGAAAGAUGGAAGACCAUGUCCUCUAAAGAGAAAGGCAAGUUUGAGGACAUGGCCAAAACCGACAAGGUCCGCUAUGACCGGGAGAUGAAAAACUACAUACCUCCUAAAGGUGUAAAGGGAGGGAAAAAGAAGAAAGACCCGAAUGCUCCUAAGAGACCACCAUCUGCUUUCUUUGUGUUUUGCUCUGAUCA